GAUCAUGGCUCAGGAUGAACGCUGGCGGCGUGCUUAACACAUGCAAGUCGAACGAAGCACUUUAUUUGAUUUCCUUCGGGACUAAUUAUUUUGUGACUGAGUGGCGGACGGGUGAGUAACGCGUGGGUAACCUGCCUUGUACAGGGGGAUAACAGUUGGAAACGGCUGCUAAUACCGCAUAAGCGCACGGCAUCGCAUGAUGCAGUGUGAAAAAACUCCGGUGGUAUAAGAUGGACCCGCG
rnacentral:rRNA from 1 species